rnacentral:rRNA from 1 species
UACGGGGGGAGCAAGCGUUGUUCGGAUUUACUGGGCGUAAAGGGCGCGUAGGCGGUCAGCACAAGUCAGUUGUGAAAUCUCCGGGCUUAACUCGGAAAGGUCAACUGAUACUGUGCGACUAGAGUGCGGAAGGGGCAACUGGAAUUCUCGGUGUAGCGGUGAAAUGCGUAGAUAUCGAGAGGAACACCUGCGGCGAAGGCGGGUUGCUGGGCUGACACUGACGCUGACAGCGCGAAAGCUAGGGGAGCGAACGGG